rnacentral:tRNA from 1 species
AAAAAUGAAAUUAAAUUUAAGUUUCGGCCUUAUUGUUUUUGAAAUAUCAAACAUUUUUA